rnacentral:misc_RNA from 1 species
ACAGCACCACGCCGAUACGCUGGCGGCAACCACAUGACCUUCUGUGAAUCCCGCAAGAUCCACAACCCGUCUACGCUCAGCCCGAUGCCCCGACGAACGAUGGGUAGUGACAGAGGAUCGGAACCCGUGUUUGUAGUUGCACU